rnacentral:rRNA from 1 species
UGGCCGCUUGCGAGGUGCUGCAUGGUUGUCGUCAGCUCGUGCGUGAGGUGUCGGGUUAAGUCCCAUAACGAGCGCAACCCCUACUGCUAGUUGCCAGCGGGUCAUGCCGGGGACUCUAGCGGAACUGCCGAGCGUAAGCUGCGAGGAAGGUGGGGAUGACGUCCAAAUCAGCACGGCCCUUACGUCCAGGGCUACACACGUGUUACAAGUGGCCGGUACAGAGGGCAGCCACCCCGCGAGGGGGCGCGAAUCCCGAAAGCCGGUCCCAGUUCGGAUCGGAGUCUGCAACCCGACUCCGUGAAGCUGGAUUCGCUAGUAAUCGCGCAUCAGCCACGGCGCGGUGAAUACGUUCCCGGGCCUU